CCUACGGGAGGCAGCAGUGGGGAAUAUUGGACAAUGGGCGAAAGCCUGAUCCAGCCAUGCCGCGUGUGUGAAGAAGGCCUUCGGGUUGUAAAGCACUUUCAGUGUGGAAGAAAGCCUUGGGGCUAAUACCCUCGAGGAAGGACAUCACCCACAGAAGAAGCACCGGCUAACUCCGUGCCAGCAGCCGCGGUAAUACGGAGGGUGCGAGCGUUAAUCGGAAUUACUGGGCGUAAAGCGCGCGUAGGCGGUCUGAUAAGCCGGUUGGGAAAGCCCCGGGCUCAACCUGGGAACGGCAUCCGGAACUGUCAGGCUAGAGUGCAGGAGAGGAAGGUAGAAUUCCCGGUGUAGCGGUGAAAUGCGUAGAGAUCGGGAGGAAUACCAGUGGCGAAGGCGGCCUUCUGGACUGACACUGACGCUGAGGUGCGAAAGCGUGGGUAGCAAACAGGAUUAGAUACCCGAGUAGUC
rnacentral:rRNA from 1 species